rnacentral:lncRNA from 1 species
CCGGCGACGGAAAAAUGGCAAAAAGGAAGAUUCUUCCGCAAUAAAAUCUAGCGACUCCGAUCGCCGGCGAGCGUGCACAUCGGCACGGGAAGGAAGGGGGAGGAGAGAGGAAGGGGAGGAAAGCUUACCUCGACCUCCGGUGGUCCAGCCGGCGAGAAAUCGCGGUGAGCACGAUCAAGGGCCGCGGCUUCAAUCAGAGAAUUUGGGAGGAAAAGAGAGAAAAA